ACAUCAUUAUUUGACUGUCGAUAGAUAUUGGUAACAUUAUUUUGGUAGUAUCACAGCCAAAUUUGAUGUCC
rnacentral:pre_miRNA from 1 species